CCGGCGACCGGCGCACGGGUGAGUAACACGUAUGCAACCUGGCCGUCACAGGUGGAUAACCGGAAGAAAUUCCGACUAAUACAGCAUAACACUCCUGAGGGACAUCCCUUGGGAGUCAAAGGAGGCAACUCCGGUGACGGAUGGGCAUGCGGCGCGGAUUAGGUAGUUGGUAGGGUAACGGCCUACCAAGCCGACGAUGCGUAGGGGUUCUGAGAGGAAGGUCCCCCACAUUGGAACUGAGACACGGUCCAAACUCCUACGGAAGGCAGCAG
rnacentral:rRNA from 1 species